UACGUAGGGUGCAAGCGUUUGUCCGGAAUUAUUGGGCGUAAAGAGCUCGUAGGCGGUCUGUCGCGUCGGCUGUGAAAACCCGGAGCUCAACUCCGGGUCUGCAGUCGAUACGGGCGGACUUGAGUACUGCAGGGGAGACUGGAAUUCCUGGUGUAGCGGUGAAAUGCGCAGAUAUCAGGAGGAACACCGGUGGCGAAGGCGGGUCUCUGGGCAGUAACUGACGCUGAGGAGCGAAAGCGUGGGGGAGCGAACAGG
rnacentral:rRNA from 1 species